rnacentral:rRNA from 1 species
GGUGAACGCUGGCGGCGUGCCUAGCACAUGCAAGUCGAGCGGUGCAGUUUGAAGCUUCGGUGGAAAGCUGCAUAGCGGCGGACGGGUGAGGAAACGUAGGAACGUGCCCCUUGGAGUUGGAUAGCCACGGGAAACUGUGGGUAAACCGACAUAGACUCGAGAGAGUAAAGGCCGAAAGGCGCCAAGGGAGCGGCCUGCGGCCCAUCAGGUAGUUGGUAGUGUAAAGGACUACCAAGCCGACGACGGGUAGCCGGUCUGAGAGGAUGGCCGGCCACAAGGGCACUGAGAGACGGGCCCUACUCCUACGGGAGGCAGCAGUGGGGGAUUUUGGACAAUGGGCGAAAGCCUGAUCCAGCGACGCCGCGUGGAGGACGAAGCCCUUCGGGGUGUAAACUCCUUUUCUCAGGGAAAAAAGGAUGAUGGUACCUGAGGAAUAAGCCCCGGCUAACUACGUG